UUGAUUUAAUAUCAAUACUGCUUAGUGUUCUUUGUUACUUCAGAUUUUGUACGUUCUAAAUAUCUGCGGUCAUUAAUUGCCACAGAAGAUAAACCCUACCCAAUGGAAUUACGUUAAAUAACGACUUUGGUGCAGAGUUACCAACUGGAUAAUAUCAAAGCUAAAAAAAUGGCCGUCCUUCCCACAUGUUACAGUAGAAGAUACUCUAGAACUGUACAAGGUUAAAAUGGUAACAUGUAGUUUGUUCCAAGGUGUCUUCCUCCUCACCCAGAGCAAGACCUCCACCUCCUCACCCAAAGCCAGAUCUCCACCUCCUGUCAGAAGUCCUCCAGAACAGCUGAAAGGCGAGGCUGAGAGGCUGGGGACCGGAGGCUUGUGGUGCCAGGGUGGACCGGAGACUGAGGCUGGAGACCAGGGGCCUGCAGCACCGGACCAGAGGACCAGGAAACCAUGUCUGGAGGAGCCGUGCUGAAGGAGCUGAUGGAGAUGCCAUGGCUGAAGGAGCUGAUGGAGGAGCCGUGCUGAAGGAGCUGAUGGAGGAGCCGUGCUGAAGGCCCUGCCUGGUGGAGGAGCUGGUGGAGGCCCUGCCUGGUGAAGGACGUCUGUCGUGGGACCAGGACACUGGCUGAGGAGAGCUGCUGGAGGAGCCAAUACUCUGGAGGACGACAUCACUCUACCAACCAGGAUCCUCAGACAAAUUGCGUUUGUAACCAGACCAGGAAUCUGGAGGACUGAUGGAGAAGCCGUACAUCUGGAAGGCAAAUCCUGAGGAGAACCAGGACUAUAUCUAUCUUGACAUAGUGGACUAGACACACCUGAGCUGAACCUCACCUGAUCCUGUUUGGUCGGGGGUAGACACAGAUGAGCUGAACCGCCCUGAUCCUGACAUCCUGCUGGUCCCGUCUCCUCAGUUCAAAUGAGCCUCGUCCUCCAGAAGACCUGCUGAGCUCAGCAGUCUGAGGCUGAUGGAUCAAUGACCUCCAGUGGGAGUGAUCUUCUUGACCCCACAUGUAACCGUGUGCUUCCACACGCCUUUCCCUCACGUCUGUCACUAACCUCACUAUUUCACUACUCUCUACUGCUUCCUCUUUUUUUCCUUCUCUGUGGUUCAAACCUUUACACUGAAGUCGCGUCUUCCUGCCCUCAGAGGGUUCAGCGUUAGGGUUGAGAGUCAGGGUUUAGUGUCAGGGACAGAGCUGGUCAGGGAGGUCUGCUUUUACACAAACCUCUUCACUUGCUUUCGGAAUGGUGGUGACAUUUUGAAAAGAUUAAUUUGGGAAAAUGUUAUCCUCUGCUUUCCUUUACAAAAUUGUGUUCAACUUCUGUCAAGUGUUUUUGUUUAUAUAUUAAAAUCCCACAUUGACUUCUACAUGUUUGGUGCUGUUCAUUUAAUUGUCCUUUAUCUUGGUUAAUGUCAAGCUAAACUCCUGCAAUACAUUUAAUAUACAUGAUUGUUAUUCAGCCUGUUCACAUGAUCCAUUUUGUAAAAAUUUGAAACCUCCA